GGCUACGGAAACCAGCACGAGGUGCGCGU
rnacentral:piRNA from 1 species